rnacentral:rRNA from 1 species
UACGUAGGGGGCAAGCGUUGUCCGGAAUCAUUGGGCGUAAAGAGCGUGUAGGCGGCCCGAUAAGUCCGCCGUGAAAGUCCAGGGCUCAACCCUGGAAUGCCGGUGGAAACUGUCGGGCUGGAGUCCGGAAGAGGCGAGUGGAAUUCCUGGUGUAGCGGUGAAAUGCGCAGAUAUCAGGAGGAACACCGGUGGCGAAGGCGCUCAUCUGGCCCAAUACUGACGCUGAGGCGCGAAAGCUAGGGGAGCAAACGGG